GACGAACGCUGGCGGCGUGCUUAACACAUGCAAGUCGAACGGAAAGCCCUGGUUUUUUUGGGUGCUCCAGUGGCGAACGGGGGGGUAACAACUUGGUAACCUUCCCCUUACAUUUGGGUUACUUCCGGGAAACGGGGGCAAUAACCGAUAAGAACCUCUUCCGCCUGGUGGGGGUUUGAAAAGUUCGGCGGUUGGGGGUGGAAUCCCGGCUUAUCCGGUUGUUGGUGGGGUAGUGGCUUACCAAGGCUUUGACGGGUAGCCGGCCUGAGAGGGUGACCGGCCACAUUGGGACUGAGAUACGGCCCAGACUCCUACGGGAGGCAGCAGUGGGGAAUAUUGCACAAUGGGCGGAAGCCUGAUGCAGCAACGCCGCGUGCGGGAUGACGGCCUUCGGGUUGUAAACCGCUUUCGCCUGUGACGAAGCGUGAGUGACGGUAAUGGGUAAAGAAGCACCGGCUAACUACGUG
rnacentral:rRNA from 1 species